CGAGGAAUAUUGCACAAUGGGCGAAAGCCUGAUGCAGCAACGCCGCGUGAGGGACGAAGGCCUUCGGGUCGUGAACCUCUUUUCUGGGGGACGAGUAAGGACGGUACUCCAGGGAUAAGUCUCGGCUAACUACGUGCCAGCAGCCGCGGUAAAACGUAGGAGGCGAGCGUUAUCCGGAUUUACUGGGCGUAAAGCGUACGCAGGUGGCUUCGUUAGUCGGACAUGAAAGCUCCUGGCUUAACUGGGAGAGGUUGUUCGAUACUGCGGGGCUUGAGGUUGGGAGAGGGACGUGGAAUUCCCGGUGUAGUGGUGGAAUGCGUAGAUAUCGGGAGGAACACCAGUGGCGCAAGCGGCGUCCUGGCCCACACCUGACGCUGAGGUACGAAAGCGUGGGUAGCAAACAG
rnacentral:rRNA from 1 species